GAUGAAGAACGUAGCGAAAUGCGAUACUUGGUGUGAAUUGCAGAAUCCCGUGAACCAUCGAGUCUUUGAACGCAAGUUGCGCCUCAAGCCAUUAGGUUGAGGGCACGUCUGCCUGGGCGUCACAUAUCGUUGCCUGAUGCCAGUUUCCUCGUGAUGGGUGACUGUGCAGGGCGAAUGAUGGCUUCCCGUGAGCAUUGUUGCCUCAUGGUUGGUUGAAAAUUGAGUCCUUGGUAGGGAGCGCCGUGAUAGAUGGUGGUUGAGUGACGAACGAGACCCAAUCAUGUGAGACCCCUACCGAAUUUGGCCUUCAUGACCAACAUGCGUCUUUGGAACGCUCAUGACGAGACCUCAGGUCAGGCGGGGCUAACCGCUGAGUUUAAGCAUAUCAAUAAGCGGAGGA
rnacentral:misc_RNA from 1 species